rnacentral:rRNA from 1 species
UACGUAGGGGGCAAGCGUUAUCCGGAUUUACUGGGUGUAAAGGGAGCGUAGGUGGCAUGGUAAGCCAGAAGUGAAAACCCGUGGCUCAACCCCGCGGAUUGCUUUUGGAACUAUCAGGCUGGAGUGCUGGAGGGGUAAGCGGAAUUCCUAGUGUAGCGGUGAAAUGCGUAGAUAUUAGGAGGAACACCGGUGGCGAAGGCGGCUUACUGGACAGAAACUGACACUGAGGCUCGAAAGCGUGGGGAGCAAACAGG